AUUGAACGCUGGCGGCAGGCCUAACACAUGCAAGUCGAGCGCGCGGCGGACGGGUGAGUAAUGUCUGGGAAAAUGCCUGCUGGAGGGGGAUAACUACUGUAAAAGGUAGCUAAUAUAGCAUACCAUCUGAUGUGCCCAGAUGGGGUUAGCUAGUCGGUGGGGUAACGGCUCACCUAGGCGACGAUCCCUAGCUGGUCUGAGAGGAUGACCAGCCACACUGGAACUGAGACACGGUCCAGACUCCUACGGGAGGCAGCAGUGGGGAAUAUUGCACAAUGGGCGCAAGCCUGAUGCAGCCAUGCCGCGUGUGUGAAGAAGGCCUUCGGGUUGUAAAGCACUUUCAGCGAGGAGGCGUUACCCGCAGAAGAAGCACCGGCUAACUCCGUGCCAGCCGCCGCGGUAAUAC
rnacentral:rRNA from 1 species